CGUAUGAGUUUUUAGAGAGAACUACUCUGGUUGGAUGUGUGACUGUGGAUACACUCCAAUGGAGUUAGAUGAGACUUGUUCUUGGUGAUUUGGUAAGAGAUUGAGAAGAGAGUGUAUGCGUGAGUGUAUGAGUGGUUUUGAGAUUAGGGAGACUAAGAGAUUAAGAGAAUAUAAGACUUAAGAACAGAACUGGAUGUUAUUAGUAACCAGAACAAUGAAGUGGAGAGGGGAAAUCCCCCUUACUCCCUUAGUGUUUACAAUCCGACAUUAGCAAGCUUAUAUAUGAGCUUUACUCAUUGCACAAAUCAUAAACCCUAAGCUACAGAUAAGACAUGAAGGGUGGAGAUGCUUUAAUUUGAAUUGGACGCUCAGGAUCAGGUCUUGUGGUCUUUGCAAAGUGUUGGAACCGCCUGAUUGGUUAAGUGAAAGCCUUGGCUGGAAAUGCUCCUCAUUGGCUCAUGUAUCUGCCCUCUUCUUUGGCCAGAUACAUAGUCAAGCCUUGCUCUUCCUUUCCAGCUAUAGCCAGCCUGUCUUGGACUGCCACAGCCUAUCACAAACCAGGCGCCAAUCUCCUUUGCACACACAGCCUUCUUCUUUGUCUUCUUCUCUUAAGAGUCUCUUUUGUCUUCUUCUCUUAAGAACUGACCUGUGCCCUAUUUUUGCACCAACUCUAAAUAGGCUCAGAUGGUCGAGAUACAAACUUUUGGGUCGGCUUGGUCCGUACGGAUCCGUACGGUCCGUACACUUCCGUACCAACUCCGUACGGCCACGCCCUAAGUUUGCCCACUCGACCAUACACCUCCAAACUCCUUCCAUGCCUUCUUAAGAUCAGUCUCAGCCAUUCUUGGACUUGACUUCACCCAUGAUAGAUGCUUCAAGACACUCCUGAAGCUUUGCUGAACUCUUCUCAAGGUCUUCAAGGGCUUUCCCUAUUUAUGAACAAGCUCCAUUCUUCUCUUCAGUUCAACANNNNNNNNNNNNNNNNNNNNNNNNNNNNNNNNNNNNNNNNNNNNNNNNNNNNNNNNNNNNNNNNNNNNNNNNNNNNNNNNNNNNNNNNNNNNNNNNNNNNNGUGAGAGUGUUUAUGAGUAUAAGAGACUUAAGAACAGAGAGAUUAAGAGACUUAAGAGACUAGAGAGACUGAGAGAAUAAGAGACUGAAGAUUAGUGUUUCAGAUUAGAGAAGGAGAGGGGAAACCCCCUAACUCACUUAAUCUCUUACAAUCGCCAAUCCUUGGCUUAUAUAUGUCUCUACACUUUGCAAUAUCAUAAACCUAUAUCCUAGGGCUGAUAUUAACUUGAAUGAUGGACGGCCUGGAUGAGAUAAGGCUGGUCUUUGGUCUUGGCAGCUUGUCUUGUAAUUGGUUGAUUCAAACUGAGGCAACAGGAGACUGAAGGCGCCAAUGUAUCUUGCUCCUUAUGUGACCAGAUACAUGCUUCUCCUUUUGCCUUUACCUUUUGCUUUUGCUUUCACUUUACAGCUUGCUCCUUAUCUAUACAAGAUGCUCAGCAUAUUCCUUCCCUCCAUAAGCCUUCAACGGCCUUGGUAAUUCAAACCUGCCGCGCCCACACAUUGCACAACUUGAUCAAGACUGAUCCGAGUGAUGGCUGGACCGGAUGGGAUGUACGGACGCUGUACGGCCUUGAGGUCCGUACACUCGUCCUAUGCCUUCAUCCAACUUCCUUCUAUGGUUAACCCUUACACCUUCUUGGAUCACCCUAGGCCGUACCAUGGCCGUACCGAACGCCCUAUCUUUGCACCAUACUUCCAUCUUCUCUUUAACUCCUCCAAAGCCUCCACAUGAUCAGUCUAAGUCUUUCCUAGACUUAACUUCACAAGAUAACUCCUUCAGAACACUUCUGAAGCUUGGUUGAACUCUUCUAGACAUCUUCUAGAGCUUGCCCUAUUCUUGUACAAGCUCCAUCUUCUCUUCAGUUCAACACUCCCCCUCAAGCUUGAAACUCUGAAGAGUCUCCCUCAUUAAAAACCUUACAAGGAAAACCCAUUGGGACAAAACCUUGCAAGGGAAAAAGAGUAGAGCUCUCCAAAGCCUAGGGAUUGGCCAGUGAACUCUUGUGCCUUAGAACCAGUGAGGUUGGACACAAGAAGUUCUGGAUCACGGCCUAAACUGGUGCGGCAACUCCACAAGACUUUGCGCACUCAACAACUCAGCUUCACCUCUUCAUGGAACUGGUUUGAGGUCUCCCCCUCUCAACUGACUUCACAGUCUUCUUAGAGAAGCUAGGACACGACCAGAUCAUCUUCACAACACUAGUGAGGCUGAUCAAGAUUUCACACACGGCUUGCCCUCUUCAUAGAACUGGUUUGGAUCUCCCCCUCUCAACAGACUUCUCAGCCAUCUUAGAGAAGCUAGGAACUGACCAGGAACAUCUUUAGUGAGGCUCAAGCAAUGGUACCUGAUACAUUAUCCCAAAGGUGCAUCAGUACCUAUCAAAAACAAGAAAAUGAAUAUCCUGCAUCACACUUGAUGCACACAAUCUCACAAUUCAAUCAUAAUCAUCUUAAGUAUCUUUUCAAGCACAAGCAAUGAAUAAGAUGAAUGAAAAAGAUUGAAAAGAGUUUUAAAAGUCUAAGGGAACUUCCCUUGUGUUUUUGUGAGUUUCCAAACUCUCUCAAUGCACCAUCUUCAUGGCAUCAUCAACUUCUUGGAAAGGCAGAAUGGAUUCAUCAGCUUCUCCUCAAUCACCUCUCAUUGAAGCUGCAUUGAUGGAGAGCCUUCUUCCUCACUUGCCAAGGCUGCUCUGAACAGCCUCUUGCCUAGACACGCCACUGACUUGGUCCGGUUGAUGAUCCUUGUAGAAGCCUUUGCACCGACUUGUUACUGACCAUGGAUCAUAUGCAUUAAGACUCCCCCUCAAGCUUAGAACCUAGACUAGAAGGAGCUAAGCUUGUGAUGAUCCUAAGCAUCUCCAUGGUCUAAUAACUAUCAUCUUUUUAUGAUAGCUUUCUUCUUGUGAGUUUACUCUCUUCCUUAACCAGGAACUAGGGUGUUUGAAUCACCAUAGAGAGUCUCACAAGACACACCUCUCAUUGCAUAAUGACCCAUGCUACACUUCCUGUAGACUAAGGACUAGAUAUGUCCAAUGGUAUUAUGCAAUGGCUAUCUCUCAUUGCAUACUCAAUCACACUACACUUCCUGUAGAUUAUGGACUAACAUGUCCUAGUGAUGAUAUGCAAUGGCACAAGACCUUUGUCUCUACAUUCUUGGUUGAUGGCGAGUUACAUGUAUCACUUCCCUUGUGUACCUAACACCACCAAAACUCAAUGCAAGAUCAGAUCAUCCCAUUGGGAUCAAACCAAGAUCAUCCAUCCUGUUUGAUCACCAAUGCCACAAUAAUAUAUGAUACUUGAAACAAGCUAGACAAUCAAGACAAUCUAGCAAAGACAAUCAAUUCAGUUUUUUUUUUUUUUAAAUGCAACAAUAGAUGAAUGCAUUAGGUUACACUAACUAUAUGAAUGAAACAGAUUCAAUUCAAAAUGGAACACAAGUCUAGAUGAUACUUCUGCAAUUAAGGCGACAAGAGUGACACAAUUCAUGCAUAUGCUCACUAGUUUUAUCAAGGCCAAUGAUUCAAGUAGCUUAGACAUACUUCUAAAUGCUUAUAAGACAUCACUGAUGGAUUUAACUAUGGCAUAGCAACAAUCAGAACUGGAUUGAGUCGAGACAAGCAGAUUUAAAUUUCUAACAAUGACAAUGCAAGUUCUAUACAGUUCUCUAAAUGCAAAGCUUAUAUCAAGUCAUUUGCAAUUUAGGCUCAUUUUUAAAUGCAUUACUACAUGAAUGCACAAUCUUAAAGCAUUAGCUAUAUGAAUGCAACGGGUUCAAUCCAUGAGUAAUAUUAAAGCUCUGCACAACAGUUUCAAUCAGAACCAAUGAUGCAAGCAACUUAGACAAUUUCUAAUUGAUGCAAGACUUUCAUUGGUGGAUUAAACAUAGGCAAUAGCAUCAGAUAACACUAGGAUUGAACUUAGACAGUAUGAGAUAUGCUUAUGUAUGCAAAAGACCUUAUCAAUCAUGAUGUAAGCAGCAGAGACAUUCUACUCAAUUCUACAACACAUCCAUGAUGAUUCAAGCUAUGACAACACUCAAGACAAUGCAAUAAACAAAACAUGAGAUUCUGGGACUCUAGACACCACUCACAGCACAAUAAAUAAAGACACAAGCUCUUAUUAAGGGUUAAGAGGUUUGCUUACAAACAAGAGAUCCGAGCUGAUCUCUUGAACUUCCAUGGGCACGGUUCACUUGAACUUGGCAUGAACUUGAUACUUGGAUUCAGUAUCCAACACCUUUCCUUGGUGUGCCCAUCCCUCUUGCAAUGCUCACUCUCCAAGGCUUCACUCUUCGGCUGGAUCACUCCAUGAUCAGCUUGCAAUGGUCUUGGUUUACAUUGCAUCACCCUCCUGGUGAUGCUCUUUCUUUGCAUGUCGACUGUCCUCUCUACACUCAUCUGAUGCGUAGGCUAUGGUGACUAAACCACCAUGGACAGAACCAUAAGUCAUCUCUCCAUUGUCACAACAUCCUCUCUACCCUCUUUGGAGCAGGCUGUGGACUUCCCACAGAAUGUUGGCAACAGGCUUCAUUUUACCAUUCUAUUGUAAUGAUAAGGAGGAACUUCAAGACCAGGAGCACAUCACCCUAACAGCUGCGCUUAAAUCACUGAUCCAUCCUUUUGCUUUAAGCUUCAAGUACUCUCAGAUCACCGGCCUUCCUCAUGGCAUAGGUGGUGACCUUCUUCUUCUUGUGUGCCUUGAACCAGGAGCUCAACAACCUCGUGGCCUGCGCUUCUUAAACCGGCUUCUACACACAAGAACCUUCCCAUUGCUCCACACAAUGGUUGGUCUUCCGCUUGUAUGUCUUGAACCAGGAGCUCAACAACCUCGUGGCCUGCGCUUCUUAAACCAGCUUCUACACACAAGUAUCUUCCCAUUGCUCCACACAAUGGUUCAAGUCUUCCUCUUUUCUUGGAUAGGUGGUGAGCAGAGGACACUUCUUGUGAACCUGAAACACCACUCAAACUCCAGAAAGGAUAAGACACAAGAGUAUUGGGAUCAAUCCUUGAUUAAUCAUCAGGUUUGAUUCCCAAUCUCACAAGCAAUGCAACAGAUAGACACAAGGCAUUAUCAAGUUCUAUUCUUUGCAAGCUAGCUCUCUAAGAACAAGCAAGAUCCUAACAGAUUCAAGACAGGUUACUUAGGCACUUUUAAAAGCUUCUUUACUCAGCACUUUAGACAUGAAUCUAAUGCUUCAAUGUAAGAUAGCCACAAGACUAUAUGCAACAGCUUUAAAAUUCAGUUUCAAUUCAUGUAUGCAAGCAGAUUCAGUUAAUCACUCUAAGCAUCACUAUGAAACGAAGCUAAGCAUAUUAAUCACAUUCAGUCACCAAACAAAGCUCUUAAAGUAUCCUGGGACAGAUUCUAAACAUUUUAAUUUAUCAAUCUUUAACAGUCCUCAGGUUUUCAAUCACAUCACACAUUACAACCAGUCAACAACACAAGCUCAUUAUCAAGAGGGUUUUAAAAUCGCUUACACAAGGAACCAGGUUGGUUCCUUAAACCUCCAAGGGGACUGGCCAUGGCUUUUGUUGAAUCUGAGAGUCUGGAUAGUCACCCACCUCCUACUCCUUCAGUUCAUGACCACCUUCUUGUUUCUCCAGCUCAAAGACUCCUCCUUUCUCCAAGUCUUCUAGGCGCCAUCACCUUGACAGCUUUCAUGAUGAACCGGGUGAAGAAAGCUCUUGGAGGAGGCGCCUUGGAUGAGGUUCGUGAGUCCUCUCCAUACACUUCUGCUUCCAAUGAGUCUCUCCAUCAGUAUAGACAGGAGAAAGGAUGAGAGACACGCCCUUCAGUCUUCUUCUCAUGGAGAAACUGAACUCGGAUGGGAAUGUCUUCAAGGAUUGGAUUUGAGCUGAGGGUAGAGCUUGUGUUGUGCGGAAGCUACAGCUCAGGUUCUGAUGAACCUGGCUCUGAUACCAUAUGAUUUUUAAAGAGAUCUCUACUCUGGUAGUAUGUGUGUGUGUAUAAGCUUCAAUGAAGAAUGAUUAGAGCUUGUUCUAGGUGAUUUAGGAAGAGAGAUUUGUGAGAGUGUAUAAGAGACUUAAGAACAGAGAGAUUAAGAGACUUAAGAGACUAGAGAGACUGAGAGAAUAAGAGACUGAAGAUUAGUGUUUCAGAUUAGAGAAGGAGAGGGGAAACCCCCUAACUCACUUAAUCUCUUACAAUCGCCAAUCCUUGGCUUAUAUAUGUCUCUACACUUUGCAAUAUCAUAAACCUAUAUCCUAGGGCUGAUAUUAACUUGAAUGAUGGACGGCCUGGAUGAGAUAAGGCUGGUCUUUGGUCUUGGCAGCUUGUCUUGUAAUUGGUUGAUUCAAACUGAGGCAACAGGAGACUGAAGGCGCCAAUGUAUCUUGCUCCUUAUGUGACCAGAUACAUGCUUCUCCUUUUGCCUUUACCUUUUGCUUUUGCUUUCACUUUACAGCUUGCUCCUUAUCUAUACAAGAUGCUCAGCAUAUUCCUUCCCUCCAUAAGCCUUCAACGGCCUUGGUAAUUCAAACCUGCCGCGCCCACACAUUGCACAACUUGAUCAAGACUGAUCCGAGUGAUGGCUGGACCGGAUGGGAUGUACGGACGCUGUACGGCCUUGAGGUCCGUACACUCGUCCUAUGCCUUCAUCCAACUUCCUUCUAUGGUUAACCCUUACACCUUCUUGGAUCACCCUAGGCCGUACCAUGGCCGUACCGAACGCCCUAUCUUUGCACCAUACUUCCAUCUUCUCUUUAACUCCUCCAAAGCCUCCACAUGAUCAGUCUAAGUCUUUCCUAGACUUAACUUCACAAGAUAACUCCUUCAGAACACUUCUGAAGCUUGGUUGAACUCUUCUAGACAUCUUCUAGAGCUUGCCCUAUUCUUGUAC
rnacentral:lncRNA from 1 species